GGGGGCGUAGAACAGUCUGGAGUGUUCGCUGGCCUGUCAAGCCAGAGGUCGCGGGUUCAAAUCCCGUCGUCCCCGCCA
rnacentral:tRNA from 3 species